GUUGUAUGGUUAAGUGACUAAGCGUACACGGUGGAUGCCUUGGCAGUCAGAGGCGAUGAAGGACGUAGUAACUUGCGAUAAGCGUAGAUGAGGCAGUAACAGCCACUUGAGUCUACGAUUUCCGAAUGGGGAAACCCACUGGCAUAAGCCAGUAUCAUUGAGUGAAUACAUAGCUCAAUGAAGCGAACCGGGAGAACUGAAACAUCUAAGUACCCCGAGGAAAAGAAAUCAACCGAGAUUCCGAAAGUAGCGGCGAGCGAAAUUGGAUUAGCCCUUAAGCUUUACAUGUGUUAGACGAACGGUCUGGAAAGUCCGACGAUACAGGGUGAUAGUCCCGUAGUUGUAGAUGCAUGUUCAGUGAAAUCGAGUAGGGCGGGACACGUGUUAUCCUGUCUGAAUAUGGGGGGACCAUCCUCCAAGGCUAAAUACUCCUGACUGACCGAUAGUGAACCAGUACCGUGAGGGAAAGGCGAAAAGAACCCCUGUGAGGGGAGUGAAAUAGAACCUGAAACCGUGUACGUACAAGCAGUAGGAGCACCUUCGUGGUGUGACUGCGUACCUUUUGUAUAAUGGGUCAGCGACUUAUAUUCAGUGGCAAGGUUAACCAUCUAGGGGAGCCGUAGGGAAACCGAGUCUUAACUGGGCGCCAUAGUCUCUGGAUAUAGACCCGAAACCGAGUGAUCUAGCCAUGGGCAGGUUGAAGGUUGAGUAACAUCAACUGGAGGACCGAACCGACUAAUGUUGAAAAAUUAGCGGAUGACUUGUGGCUAGGGGUGAAAGGCCAAUCAAACUCGGAGAUAGCUGGUUCUCCCCGAAAGCUAUUUAGGUAGCGCCUCGGACGAAUACUACUGGGGGUAGAGCACUGUUAAGGCUAGGGGGUCAUCCCGACUUACCAACCCUUUGCAAACUCCGAAUACCAGUAAGUACUAUCCGGGAGACACACGGCGGGUGCUAACGUCCGUCGUGGAGAGGGAAACAACCCAGACCGCCAGCUAAGGUCCCAAAUUACAGCUAAGUGGGAAACGAUGUGGGAAGGCUUAGACAGCUAGGAUGUUGGCUUAGAAGCAGCCAUCAUUUAAAGAAAGCGUAAUAGCUCACUAGUCGAGUCGGCCUGCGCGGAAGAUGUAACGGGGCUAAGUUGUAAACCGAAGCUGCGGCAAUGUUCUUUGAACAUUGGGUAGGGGAGCGUUCUGUAAGCCGUUGAAGGUGUGUUGUAAAGCAUGCUGGAGGUAUCAGAAGUGCGAAUGCUGACAUGAGUAACGACAAGGGGGGUGAAAAACCUCCCCGCCGGAAGACCAAGGGUUCCUGUCCAACGUUAAUCGGGGCAGGGUAAGUCGACCCCUAAGGCGAGGCCGAAAGGCGUAGUCGAUGGGAAACGGGUUAAUAUUCCCGUACUUCUUACAAUUGCGAUGGGGGGACGGAGAAGGCUAGGUGGGCCUGGCGACGGUUGUCCAGGUUCAAGUGCGUAGGCUGAGUGUUUAGGUAAAUCCGGACACUCUUAAGGCUGAGACACGACGUCGAGCUACUACGG
rnacentral:rRNA from 1 species